rnacentral:rRNA from 1 species
GAACGCUGGCGGCGUGCCUAAUACAUGCAAGUCGAGCGAACGGACGAGAAGCUUGCUUCUCUGAUGUUAGCGGCGGACGGGUGAGUAACACGUGGAUAACCUACCUAUAAGACUGGGAUAACUUCGGGAAACCGUAGCUAAUACCGGAUAAUAUUUUGAACCGCAUGGUUCAAAAGUGAAAGACGGUCUUGCUGUCACUUAUAGAUGGAUCCGCGCUGCAUUAGCUAGUUGGUAAGGUAACGGCUUACCAAGGCAACGAUGCAUAGCCGGCCUGAGAGGGUGAUCGGCCACACUGGAACUGAGACACGGUCCAGACUCCUACGGGAGGCAGCAGUAGGGAAUCUUCCGCAAUGGGCGAAAGCCUGACGGAGCAACGCCGCGUGAGUGAUGAAGGUCUUCGGAUCGUAAAACUCUGUUAUUAGGGAAGAACAUAUGUGUAAGUAACUGUGCACAUCUUGACGGUACCUAAUCAGAAAGCCACGGCUAACUACGUG